rnacentral:lncRNA from 1 species
CCUCCUAUUGACAAUUUAGUUAAGGCGUGGCAUGAGAGAGAUCUGCGUUAUAGAUACUAAUGACCCACAGUCUGUUGCUAAACAGAAGGAAUAAAGGAAUCAAGGGAAUGUAUAGUUCUGGAAAAGGAAGAAAAACAACAAAACACAAAAAAAUCGCACACACACACACACAAAAACAACACUAAAACUCUACAAAUAUUUACAUUUGCUUGCAUUUGACAACAACCAGUCUGUUACAGGCUGAGAAGAUUACAAACAGGUUUUCCGACAGUUUCGUUUUCCAGGGAUGGUCACGGGGGUGGACAGAACAGCAAGGCUGUAAAUAAGAACUUAGUCCUUCCCUAGGUAUCAAGAACUCUGCUGCGUUUUCCUCUUCUGUCGGCAAUUUGUGCUAUUUGUGAUCCUACAGAGUUGAUGGUGUAAUGCAGUUGGCCAGAGUCCCACUGCAAGGAAUGCAGCGCUGCCAAGUCAACCACCCGUACUAACCACAAUCUCCCUGCAGAUCUCACUAACCUGGCAGCUCAGCUUUGUUUAGUAACAUAAAUAAAAAUGAGAGCACCUUUUCCUGUCUUCACUGCCCUCCUCCAUCUUCUGGGGGUCUUUUCUGGGAAAAUGCAAGGGAGUUAAGCAGAUUCCCCAGGGCUAAAAGUGACGCUUAUAACAUGUAACACUGUCAUAACCUUCAACGUCUCUCGUGUUCUGAUUUCUGCUUUACCUGAAAUAUGAGAAGUGUGAGUCAUGACCAUUUCCCUUGUACCACAAUGAGGAGGAAUGCUGAUAUAUGGGAACUGAUGAAGAAGCACAAGGGAACCAAUGUUCACCUCUUCAUCCCAACGAAAUCUGAUGGUGAAUCACAGGCUGCAAAAUACAACUGAGCAAGUUAAAUUCCACUUCCCUUGAACACGGAAGCAAGUAGAACAUUUUGUCACGUGGUCACAUCAGCAUAUCGCAACAACAAGCAGAGUCACCUGGUGAAACGACCCAUUCAGAGAUUUAGAGGGAAAAUUUCCUUAGGGCAGGUGGCACAGGACAUCUGGCAGCCCACUAACUUUUGUUCUGAGUGUAACACCUAUGCUGGAGGGCAUCCUGCCAGAAGCUGCACCCACCUGAGACACGGCCAGCUCAAGAUGAAAGGGAACACAAAAUUCAACAGGAUGGUUAUCUUUUACUGAUGACUGAGGUACUGGACUGAGGUACUGGACUGAGGUACCUGGGAACACACUAGCUCCCCUUAGGUUUGGUAUAGUUUGGUAAUGUCAGGCAGCUAAGAAAGUUAAUCAGGCCAGAAACAGGCUUGUAUAUGCUUUCUCCACAGGGAUUAAGAACUACUUGCCAAAUAUUCAGAUUGGGUAAUUGCUACCUGGAUUAGCAAGGGUAUGCAGCCCAAAAAUAAAAUAAUUGCUUAGAGUUUCUGAUAAAUUGCA